UACGGGGGGAGCAAGCGUUGUUCGGAUUUACUGGGCGUAAAGCGUGCGUAGGCGGUUCGUUGUGUCUGUGGUGAAAGCCCCGGGCUUAACCUGGGAAUGGCCAUGGAAACUGGCGAGCUGGAGUGUGGCAGAGGGGGGUGGAAUUCCGCGUGUAGCAGUGAAAUGCGUAGAGAUGCGGAGGAACACCGAUGGCGAAGGCAGCCCCCUGGGCUAACACUGACGCUGAGGCACGAAAGCGUGGGGAGCAAACAGG
rnacentral:rRNA from 1 species